ACCCAGGUAGCUUAGUCAGUAGAGUAUCUGACUCUUGAUCUCGAAGUGGUGAGUUCAAGCCCCACAUUGGGUG
rnacentral:tRNA from 1 species